UGUCCUGGCACGCACAUGGAAGGAAUUGAAAAAUAUUCCGUAAAAUGUUUUUCUCAAGAUGCAUAAGGAAAAAGUUGACAAUUACUUUGAAUGAAUUCAAUACACUCACUGAGCACUUUAUAAGGAACACCAGUACACCUAAUCAGCCAAUUGUGUGGUAGCAGUGCAAUGCAUAAAAUCAUGCAGAUACGGGUCAGGAGUUUCAGUUCACAUCAACCAUCAGAAUGGGGAAAAAAUGUGAUCUCAGUGAUUUCGACCUUGGCAUGAUUGUUGGUGCCAGACGGGCUGGUUUGAGGAUUUCUGGGAUUUAUAUGCACAACAGUCUCUAGAGUUUACUCCGAAUGGUGCCAAAAACAAAAAACAUCCAGUGAGCGCCAGUUCUGUGUACGGAAAUGUCUUGUUGCUGAGAGAGGUCAACGGAGAAUGGCCAGACUGGUUUGAACUGACAAAGUCUACAGUAACUCAGAUAACCACUCUGUACAAUUGUGCUGAGAAGAAUAUCAUCUCUGAAUGCACAACACAUCGAACCUUGAGGUGGAUGGGCUACAACAGCAGAAGACCACGUCGGACACUUUAUUAGGACCAAAGUGUUUCUAAUAAAGCGCUAACUGGUGGUGCAAGGUGUGUCUCUGCUUGACUAAUGGAAUCCUGGAUGGAGAUAAUGAAACACCGGCUGAUGGAGAAACUGGCAGAGAUGUGAUCAAUCCAUGAAGGGCCGAUCUGCUGUUAUCGAACCUACAGAAACACGAAAAGAAGAUGAAAGCCAGUAGAAUCACCUGGAAUCAACACUGUAAUCCAAUAUUCAGGAUUUGGAAGGACCACAUAUAAGUCCACAGCAGAAUUCCAGAACUCCAUAAGUGAUGAAAGGAGAUGGACCAGCAACUCCUGCAACACUGCAAAUGGCUCUUUUCUGUCUGGUUUUGUUAUGACGGCUUCAAGGCAUUUGAAAGCCUGAGCUGAUCAGUAAAAUGCAAUACAGUUAUAAGAUGUAUGGCAAUAAGUAUGUUUUGGAUGUCAAUAGGACGUUCAGCAGAUGUCUUUGAGAUGUUUAUGAUUUAGAAUGUUUGUAAAUCUGAUCUUUUUAAGAUGUUGAUUACAUUGUUACGCUUUACAAGUGAAAAGAUCUAAAACAGACAUCUCGGAGACGUACAUGUGCUAUCUGGGGUAGUACAAGUCAAGUACAACAACUUAAAUUACAUCCAAACUCUUUUAUAAUUAUUAUACAUGACUUUUGUAUCACCCGAUAUUUAUUAAUAGUGUUUGUCCUUUAAAUUUUUUUCCAUGUUUGUUAACUACCGAGAAAUACCUAGAAAUGUACUAUAACACAAAAAAAUAGUA